AACGAACGCUGGCGGCAUGCCUAACACAUGCAAGUCGAACGGGAUCCUGGCUUCGGCCAGGUGAGAGUGGCGGACGGGUGAGUAACGCGUGGGAACCUGCCCAUUGGUCUGGGAUAACUGCGGGAAACUGCAGCUAAUACCGGAUGUACCCGAGAGGGGAAAGAUUUAUCGCCGAUGGAGGGGCCCGCGUCAGAUUAGGUAGUUGGUGAGGUAACGGCUCACCAAGCCUACGAUCUGUAGCUGGUCUGAGAGGAUGAUCAGCCACACUGGGACUGAGAUACGGCCCAGACUCCUACGGGAGGCAGCAGUGGGGAAUAUUGGACAAUGGGGGGCAACCCUGAUCCAGCAAUGCCGCGUGAGUGAUGAAGGCCUUAGGGUGUAAAGCUCUUUUUACCAGGGACGAUGAUGACGGUACCUGGAGAAUAAG
rnacentral:rRNA from 1 species